GACGAACCGUACAAACGUUAUUCGGAAUCACUGGGCUUAAAGGGUGCGUAGGCGGCGCUGAAAGUUGGGUGUGAAAUCCCUCGGCUUAACCGAGGAACUGCGCCCAAAACUGCAGUGCUUGAGGGAGAUAGAGGUGAGCGGAACUUAGGGUGGAGCGGUGAAAUGCGUUGAUAUCCUAAGGAACGCCAGGGGCGAAAGCGGCUCACUGGGUCUCUUCUGACGCUGAGGCACGAAAGCUAGGGUAGCGAAC
rnacentral:rRNA from 1 species